GAAAUGCAUACAAAUGACUUCUUCUAGAGAACCACUAAAUGGAAUGAAACCAAACAUUGCAUGAAUGUUCCUUAUGGAGUGCUGACCAAUUGUUGUUACUUUUGUAGCCAAUCCAUUAUCCAAGAUGGCCGCCAGCGGGGACUUAGUUUAACAUAGGACCCUAUUGGAAAUGCAUACAAAUGACUUCUUCUAGUGAACCACUGAAUGGAAUGAAACCAAACAUGGCAUGAAUGUUCCUUAUGUGGUGCUGACCAAGUGUUGUUACUUUGUAGCCGAUCCAUCAUCAAAGAUGGCCCCCAGCAUGGGACUUAGUUUAACAUAGGACCCUAUGGGAAAUGCAUACAAAUGACUUCUUUUAGAGAACCACUGAAUGGAAUAAAACCAAACAUAGCAUGAAUGUUCCUUAUGGGGUGCUGACCAAGUGUUGUUACUUUGUAGCCGAUCCAUCAUCAUAGAUGGCCGUCAGCGGGGGACUUAGUUUAACAUAGGACCCUAUAGGAAAUGCAUACAAAUGACUUCUUUUAGAGAACCACUGAAUGGAAUAAAACCAAACAUAGCAUGAAUGUUCCUUAUGGGGUGCUGACCAAGUGUUGUUACUUUGUAGCCGAUCCAUCAUCCAAGAUGGCCGCCAGCGGGGGACUUAGUUUAACAUAGGACCCUAUGGGAAAUGCAUACAAAUGACUUCUUCUAGAGAACCACUAAAUGGAAUUAAACCAAACAUAGCAUGAAUGUUCCUUAUGGAGUGCUGACCAAGUGUUGUUACUUUGUAGCUGAUCCAUUAUCCAAGAUGGCCGCCAGCGG
rnacentral:lncRNA from 1 species